rnacentral:rRNA from 1 species
UACGAAGGGGGCUAGCGUUGCUCGGAAUCACUGGGCGUAAAGGGUGCGUAGGCGGGUCUUUAAGUCAGAGGUGAAAUCCUGGAGCUCAACUCCAGAACUGCCUUUGAUACUGAGGAUCUUGAGUUCGGGAGAGGUGAGUGGAACUGCGAGUGUAGAGGUGAAAUUCGUAGAUAUUCGCAAGAACACCAGUGGCGAAGGCGGCUCGCUGGCCCGGUACUGACGCUGAGGUGCGAAAGCGUGGGGAGCAAACAGG